CCUGUGCAAUGUGAUCGCCCAUUAGGGCGUUGAAGGCGCGCUGGGGCCGCUGCUGCUGCUGGUGAUGGGGGCCUGGAAACUGCCCCAUGCCCGUGCGGUGGGUAGGGUAGCGAUGCAGCCCAUUGGUGUCGUUGGGGAAGCGCCCGUGGUUCAUGGCCAUCAUAUGGUCUGCCAUUUGCAGUCCUUCUGUUUUUGCGAUUUCUGCCCCCAAGACCAGGGGUGUGAUCGUGGGGUCCAGGAUUGGCUCAGCAGCACAUAGAGGGGGCCUUCCUGGCCUGCCGGGUGCUUCGUUGUCGCGAUGUCGGCACCGAGGUCUGGCAGUGGCUACUGGGGCAGAUUCAGAGCUCUCACAGCUAGGUAGGAGCUCCCAGCAGCUGCCAACAAUGAGCUGUCUCUUGAGGAUGAUUUUCACUGGGCUUCUUGGCUGGCUUCACUCACUGCUGACACAAUGAAUGCUGAGGUGCUUCAAGGCUCUGGUCUGGUCUUCUUCCUUCUCCAAACUUCUCCUGCACAAGACAACCUGACUUUUUAGGAGGUGCUCUAGCAGAAUUGGACCUGGCGAGGUGGGGGCCACACCUUGACAAGGAUCCCUGUUAACUGUAACUAGAACCCUGGGAAGAGAAAACCCUCCCUGCCAUGGGCAUACCAGGCCGGCCUGGAACCGCCAAUCUUUCGGACUUAGGACUAUGGGAGCAAACGGGGAAGAUUGUCUAGUGAUCGAUAAUACAGGAGUGCUUUAAAAGCUAGAGCAGGCGUCCCUGGGUGGGCUCGAACCACCGACCUUUCGGUUAACAGCCCAACGCGCUAACCAAUUGCGCCGCAGAGACGAUUAUGAGCAACUCCACUGGGUACUAUAGGCAGGGCACACUCACCAAAUUCUCAUUCCUUUCAGCCUCAAGGCUUGCCCGACAGCACGGACGACUGUACAAGGUCUGGGGAAAUCGGAGAGAUUAGAGAGCGGUGAGUCGUGUUGGUCAUGUAGGACACCCACGCUGGGAGAUUCUGGAGCCUGAAGGACAGCCGAACGGCCUUUGCUCGCUCUGCCCCUGGCCUGCUUCAGCAGCCCCUGGAAUCGCCCCCAUCAGCGACCCGAGCCACCUGGGGACCCAAGGGAAGCUGAACGCCCGGUGGGCUCCAGGAAUGACUCUUCGAGUUCUUUGCACCGCCUUCACCCAGUGAGGGAGCCUGUUCCCACCCUGCCCAGUCGCUUUCGGGGCCACUGCGGAGCUUCCACUGCCAUCUUCCGACCCUGUGUCUGGCUCCGGGCCUCCACCAGGGCAGGGAUGAGGUGAGGGUCACUCACGGGGAGCAGGGUCCAACACUCAGCAGGGCGCAUGACUGGGGCUUGUUGAAUGAAUUCGUCGCCUUUAGCUUUUAGUCCUUUGAAGAGCCCUGAGAAUGAAAAUCAAGAGAGAUUUUUCCAAGGGGAAGUUCUUUUCGCAAAGCGUUUAUUCAGGUUGACUUCUCGGCACCCCGUGGGGAGGGAAGGAGCAGGGCACCCAGUGCACCUUCUGCGCGGUGGAGCCACCGGGGCUCAGCUGGGGUGGGAGGGCAGAGCGGGGAAAGAGAAAAGUGGGGAAAGAAGCUGGGGAGGGGUGGAUCAGACAUCUGCACCUCCUAAAAGGUUCGUGCAGAGGCACAAGCGGGAGAAGAAUUGUUUUGUUUUGUUGGCUUUUGGUCUUUGUUUUUCGUUUUUGUUUUUGUUUUGAGAGGGAGUCUUGCACUGUCGGCCAGACUGGAGUGCAGUGGCAUGAUCUCACUGCAACCUCCGCCUCCUGGGUUCAAGGGAUUCUCCUGCCUCAGCCUCCUGCGUAGCUGGGAUUACAGGCGCCUGCCACCACGCCCAGCUAACUUUUGUAUUUUUAGUAGAAAUGGGGUUUCACCACAUUGGCCAGGCUGGUCUCGAACUCCUGACUGCCCACCUCAGCCUCCCAAAGUGCUGGGAUUACAGGUUGAGCCACCCCACCUGGCAGAGAAUUGCUUUUUUAUUGUAGCAGAAUGAGGAGGAAUUGAAGGAAAAACGGAAAUAGAACCUGUAGCUCCCAAGAAUAAGAUCUUCCAGAAGAACUAGGCCCAAAACUAGGCGUCUGGGAAGCCUGAAACCCAGGCGGGAGUAGCAUUACCCUGACCCUCUGCGUUCCUUUAGGCAAAGGACAUGCUUCCAUUGUUUGAUCAAUUGCUUGUGUUUGUUAAAUAAAUAAAACCCUUUUCAUGUAUCUUUGAAAUGA